UGCUGUAGGUGAAUUCAGAUGACCCCUAAUUGUAGAGGCGCUUGGUGAAAUAAGGAGAAAAUCGUUUGUUUACAUAAAAAAGUCAAUUUUUUGUCGUCAAAUUUUACUCAUUUUUUGCUCUAGAAGUUGUUAUUUUCCAUUUGCAAUGGCUUCCAUUAUCAUCAUUCUUGAUGCCCACGCCGACAGACACCGGAUUGGCUUUCAAGAGCAAAACAAAACAUACUGUUACCCAUCUUUGUUUCGGUAACGCAACUAUCGAACUGAUGAUUGUCGUGAACCGAGGAACGGUUCACGGAUCAUUUUGUACGGAAGUAUUCCGUAAUUUACCCAUCCGCAGGGCAAUUCACACGAACAACACAACCGUCUUCGGACACAUCAAUUUUUAGACUGAAUUCUUGCGUGCACAAGCCUGUUUUUACACACUUAUCUCUGACUAACAAUAAUCUGCCAACUCGUAACCCACAGAAAUAAAUAAACAGUUAAUAUUUUAUUCCAUGACAUCUUAUUCCUACAUUCACCUUCACCUCUACUCUCUAGUGAAUGUUAUAUUGAUCAACAUAUGAGAAUAUUUAAAGCAUACAACAUGCAAUAAUUCAGGCAAUGCUUACAAUAAUACUUAAAAAACAUCAUCAACUAACAAAUACCUUGUUUAAACACAUCCUUAAUACAUCACAAUUAACAUUUUAAAGCACCACUCAUCUAGUUCUAUCUCUUCUUGAAUAUGUUUUAUUCGUUUCAGCUUACCAGACUCAAACUUAUUUUAAGUAGCAAAACCAGUAAAACAUCCAACAACCUCCUCGACAGUUCGCAAUUUAUACGUUCUAACACACCUCAACGAGUUCUGUCAGAAAAUCACAUAAGCAGCAAAACCAGUAAAAUAUUCAACAACUUCCUCGACAGUUCGCAAUUUAUACGUUCUAACACACCUCAACGAGUUCUGUCUGAUAUUUGGCAUGCUAUGUUGGGUUGAGCUUACCAGGCUCAAAAAAUCACAUAAGCAGCAAAACCAGUAAAAUAUUCAACAACUUCCUCGAUAGUUCGCAAUUUAUACGUUCUAACACACCUCAACGAGUUCUGUCUGAUCUUUUGGCAUGCUAUAAGGCAAUCCAUGAGACAGAUGCGAUCAGCUGAUUUCCUUUGUUUACCAUGUAUUUUUGACAUUCGUCGAUCGGGGUGACAGUUGAACACAAAGGAAUUUGUUAAGCACAGAGAACACUCGACGAAAAUUUGGUAAGCUGCACGUACACUGUGUUUACAAUUUCAGCUGUCACCCCCAUCGCGAUAUGUCGUCAUGGAUUGCCUUAUGUUGGGUUGAGCUUACCAGGCUCAAAAAAUCACAUAAGCAGCAAAACCAGUAAAAUAUUCAACAACUUCCUCGACUGUUCGCAAUUUAUACGUUCUAACACACCUCAACGAGUUCUGUCUGAUCUUAGGCAUGCUAUGUUGGGUUGAGCUUACCAGGCUCAAAAAUUCACAUAAGCAGCAAAACCAGUUAAAUAUUCAACAACUUCCUCGACAGUUCGCAAUUUAUACGUUCUAACACACCUCAACGAGUUCUGUCUGAUCUUUGGCAUGCUAUGUUGGGUUGAGCUUACCAGGCUCGAAAAAUCACAUAAGCAGCAAAACCAGUAAAAUAUUCAACAACUUCCUCGACAGUUCGCAAUUUAUACGUUGGAUUUAAAUUUUUAGUUGACCCAACUAGGUCCGAUGGCUACUCCGCACCACCGACCAACCUAUUCGAAAGUUGGAUUUCAAUUUUCAGUUGACCCAGAUGGCUACUCCGCACCACCGACCAACCUAUUCGAAAGUUGGAUUUAAAUUUUCAGUUGACCCAACUACCCGCAUAGAAAAUAACAUUUUGCCUUGAGGUCCAAACAGUAAAUAUCUUCUACCACAUAGAGUCAGUUUACCACAAACAGUCCCCUUUACGUCCAACAGUAUGGAACCUGAAGCGUUGGAUUGUAUAGCACGGUUUAUAUAACCCAUAUCAAAAAGUCACAAUAUGGUAUGAUGUCUGCUCAUUGUUGAAAGAUAAUGUUGUAAGGAAUAGUAGAAACAUGAGUCCACAUUCUGCCAAACAGUUGGUGCUUGAAUUUCAACAUCAAACUAACACAUGCACACUUUACUAUGUUUUACUCAUAGGCAACAAUAUGGUAAACAGUUCCACACAUUAGUUUGUGUGUGCGUCAUUUAUAUUGAAAAAAUGCGGCACGCUGUUUGUUUUGUUUUUCACAAAGUGAAAAAGAGGAGCAGGAUUUGCUUUCAAAGAUCCGCAUUAAUCGUGAAAAUCGGUUGUUACAUAGGAUUCACCAGGAAAUCCAGCUGCUCGAAAGGGUACUCCUCCUAGGAUCCGACAGCAGUCUGCAAUCAGUCGAUUUUCCAUCCUAUCUGGUCUGUAUUCUUGCUGGGUGAAGUCUUCCGUGUUAGUUCUUCACCGGUAUCGGAAAUGCAUUUUGCGAGGAAUUGGACCUGUUUACAAGCCGGACGUGGGAGUCAAUUCAAAGUUCCACAGCUACAUUACCGUAGUAUAUGUCUUCCAGCAGCGAAUUACCGUAAAAGCUGUCCUUCCCGUGCAGCUGCUCCUAAUGGACUCGAGCAUUACUGUUUCACACAGUGAAAUCCGGAUGCAUAAGGACCUGAUCCAGAUCGACUCGACCCUGCCGGACGGGAAGCUCGAGAAGGAAACCCGCUUGAACAAUUUCAAUUUGUUCGUAUCGAUGUUUUACAUAUUUUGGCUGGCACCUACUUAGGGGUAAGAUGAGUAAAAUAAUUUUGGGAAUUCGAUUUUAUGGUGCUUGAAUAAACACAAUUCAAUUAUUUGAA